rnacentral:tRNA from 4 species
GGGUGAUUAGCUCAGCUGGGAGAGCACCUCCCUUACAAGGAGGGGGUCGGCGGUUCGAUCCCGUCAUCACCCU